AGUGAACGCUGGCGGUAGGCCUAACACAUGCGAGUCGAACGGCAGCACAGUAAGAGCUUGCUCUUACGGGUGGCGAGUGGCGGACGGGUGAGGAAUACAUCGGAAUCUACUUUUUCGUGGGGGAUAACGUAGGGAAACUUACGCUAAUACCGCAUACGACCUACGGGUGAAAGCAGGGGAUCUUCGGACCUUGCGCGAUUGAAUGAGCCGAUGUCGGAUCAGCUAGUUGGCGGGGUAAAGGCCCACCAAGGCGACGAUCCGUAGCUGGUCUGAGAGGAUGAUCAGCCACACUGGAACUGAGACACGGUCCAGACUCCUACGGGAGGCAGCAGUGGGGAAUAUUGGACAAUGGGCGCAAGCCUGAUCCAGCCAUACCGCGUGGGUGAAGAAGGCCUUCGGGUUGUAAAGCCCUUUUGUCGGGAAAGAAAAGCAGCAGGUUAAUACCCCGCUGUUCUGACGGUACCCAAAGAAUAAGCACCGGCUAACUUCGUG
rnacentral:rRNA from 1 species